GUUUGAUCUCAAAUCAGGUAGGACUACCCGCUGAACUUAAGCAUAC
rnacentral:rRNA from 1 species